rnacentral:rRNA from 1 species
UACGUAGGGUGCAAGCGUUAAUCGGAAUUACUGGGCGUAAAGCGUGCGCAGGCGGUCUUGCAAGACCGAUGUGAAAUCCCCGGGCUUAACCUGGGAACUGCAUUUGUGACUGCAUGGCUGGAGUGCGGCAGAGGGGGAUGGAAUUCCGCGUGUAGCAGUGAAAUGCGUAGAUAUGCGGAGGAACACCGAUGGCGAAGGCAGUCCCCUGGGCCUGCACUGACGCUCAUGCACGAAAGCGUGGGGAGCAAACAGG